CUAGUAGUGGGCCCAGAACCUUGUGCAUCAGGGUAGCGAACACGGCGGCUGCUCCCUUUAGACCCAUGGGCAUUCGUACAUAUCGAUACUGAGCUGUGGGCGUGGCAAAUGCCGUACGCUCCUUAGAAGCCUCGUCCGCCAUCGGGACUUGCCAGUAGCCCGACUUCAAGUCCAGGCUGGAGUAGUAACGAGUCUCGCCACCCGGAGGUGCAGCAAUAUCCAAAAUAUCCUGGAUGUGACCUAUCGGAAACCGGAUGUCCUUAGUGACGUCGUUGACCCUCCGCAUAUCUACACAGGGCCGAAGUUCUCCGUUUUUCUUGGGAACGACUACGACUGGAGACACCCAAGGACUGUUGGACAGUUCGAUGAUUCCGUCCUGUAGCAUCUGCCGCAUCUCAGCAUCAACGGUGGCUUUCUCCGUUCGUGACAGACGGUAAGGAUUCUGCACGAUAGGAGGAUGAUCUCCCGUGUCCACCUUCAUGGACACCCAGGACGUAAGCCCUAGCUCUCGGUUGGUUAAGGCGAACAUGUCAAAGUUGUCAGUCAAACAUGCGACCAGCUGCUGGUGGUCGAGGUACUGAAGAUCGGUGUUUACUUUGCUGCUUAGCAACUCGCGUAGCUCAGGGGUAGGGCUCUUGACUGGCCGAACCGCACGGGCUACCAACCCGCGAAAAUGAGCUUCCUCUAAAUGUCCGUCGUGAUCCAAGCCGUCUGGGGCAAGGGCAGCUGGCAUGUUCGCAUUAAACUGUGCUGCCGCCGCAUGGCUGUGGGUAACGGGAGCACACUCCUCAGUUAGCAAUCGUGGUAACAGGAGCUCUCGCGAACUCAAGACGGGAAUAGUUUCAGGAAAAGAACGGAAUGGAUCCGCAGGGGUCGAUAUUGGCAGUCCAGGUCCGGAGUGCGAGUCAUUGUCGUACUCGAACUCAUCUCCAGGCCAGACAUUUGCCCGAGCCUCUUCACUGCCAGAACUGACGACGCUGUCGGUACUCCAUGCAUCCGCAGCCCAUUCGCCGCUGGAGGCAUUUUCCGACGGAAUCACGUCCGACCUAAGCACUUGCCGUACAAGUAUGUCGACGAUGUGUUCCAUGUCCAUGUCCCCACGGGCUGUCGAAUCACCAUCACUAACCUCUCCGCUGCUUUCCUCAGGCGAAUCAAUGGUCUCAGGCGCGGAGCCUCUAUUGAUAGCCGCAGGCGACAUCUGCCCUUGUGGCGUGGGCGUCUCAGGCCGCUGUACUGAUGCCUCGGCCGUCAACAUGGAAGCUGGUUGAGUGUCGUCUUGCUCAGGUGAGUCGUCCCAAAGUCGAGCAGACGGGGAAAUAUUAGAGCCGGGGCUCCGAAGAAAAUGGAUAGCAAUGUUGGACCGCUGAUCCCGGUCAUUGGUGUAUUCCAGACGACCACUGUCGUACGAAAUACUUGCUCGUAUUGGGUAGAGGAAGUCGGUGCCCAGGAGUAGCUGAUAGUUGAGGGCGGUGCUGACGAACGGACUCAGCAGCGUCGUUAGG
rnacentral:lncRNA from 1 species